rnacentral:rRNA from 1 species
CACCGCCCGUCACACCAUGGGAGUUGGUUUCACCCGAAGGCAGUGCGCUAACCGCAAGGAGGCAGCUGACCACGGUGGGAUCAGCGACUAGGGUG